rnacentral:rRNA from 1 species
AGAGCGAACGCUGGCGGCAUGCUUAACACAUGCAAGUCGCACGGGCAGGGGUAACUCUGUCAGUGGCGGACGGGUGAGUAACGCGUAGGUAUCUAUCUCUGGGUGGGGGACAACUGUGGGAAACUACAGCUAAUACCGCAUGACACCUGAGGGUCAAAGGCGCAAGUCGCCUGGAGAGGAGCCUGCGUACGAUUAGCUAGUUGGUGGGGUAAAGGCCUACCAAGGCGACGAUCGUUAGCUGGUCUGAGAGGAUGAUCAGCCACAUUGGGACUGAGACACGGCCCAAACUCCUACGGGAGGCAGCAGUGGGGAAUAUUGGACAAUGGGCGAAAGCCUGAUCCAGCAAUGCCGCGUGUGUGAAGAAGGUCUUCGGAUUGUAAAGCACUUUCGACGGGGACGAUGAUGACGGUACCCGUAGAAGAAGCCCCGGCUAACUUCGCGCCAGCCAGCCGC